rnacentral:rRNA from 1 species
UACGGGGGGGGCAAGCGUUGUUCGGAAUUACUGGGCGUAAAGGGCUCGUAGGCGGCCAACUAAGUCAGACGUGAAAUCCCUCGGCUUAACCGGGGAACUGCGUCUGAUACUGGAUGGCUAGAGGUUGGGAGAGGGAUGCGGAAUUCCAGGUGUAGCGGUGAAAUGCGCAGAUAUCAGGAGGAACACCAAUGGCGAAGGCAGCACUCUGGGACGGUACUGACGCUGAGACGCGAAAGCGUGGGGAGCAAACAGG